CUAACACAUGCAAGUCGAACGAGGACCUUCGGGUCUAGUGGCGCACGGAGUGCGUAACGCGUGGGAAUCUGCCCUUGGGUUCGGAAUAACAGUUAGAAAUGACUGCUAAUACCGGAUGAUGUCGUAAGACCAAAGAUUUAUCGCCCAAGGAUGAGCCCGCGUAGGAUUAGCUAGUUGGUGAGGUAAAGGCUCACCAAGGCGACGAUCCUUAGCUGGUCUGAGAGGAUGAUCAGCCACACUGGGACUGAGACACGGCCCAGACUCCUACGGGAGGCAGCAGUGGGGAAUAUUGGACAAUGGGCGAAAGCCUGAUCCAGCAAUGCCGCGUGAGUGAUGAAGGCCUUAGGGUUGUAAAGCUCUUUUACCCGGGAUGAUAAUGACAGUACCGGGAGAAUAAGCUCCGGCUAACUCCGUGCCAGCAGCCGCGGUAAUACGGAGGGAGCUAGCGUUAUUCGGAAUUACUGGGCGUAAAGCGCACGUAGGCGGCUUUGUAAGUUAGAGGUGAAGCCCAGAGCUCAACUCUGGAAUUGCCUUUAAGACUGCAUCGCUUGAAUCAUGGAGAGGUCAGUGGAUUCCGAGUGUAGAGGUGAAAUUCGUAGAUAUUCGGAAGAACACCAGUGGCGAAGGCGGCUGACUGGA
rnacentral:rRNA from 1 species